rnacentral:rRNA from 1 species
GAUGAACGCUGGCGGCGUGCUUAACACAUGCAAGUCGAACGGAAAGGCCCAAGCUUGCUUGGGUACUCGAGUGGCGAACGGGUGAGUAACACGUGGGUGAUCUGCCCUGCACUUCGGGAUAAGCCUGGGAAACUGGGUCUAAUACCGGAUAGGACCACAUUUUGGAUGGUGUGGUGGAAAGUUUUUCGGUGUGGGAUGGGCUCGCGGCCUAUCAGCUUGUUGGUGGGGUAAUGGCCUACCAAGGCGUCGACGGGUAGCCGGCCUGAGAGGGUGUACGGCGACCUUGGGACUGCGAUACGGCCCAGACUCCUACGGGAGGCAGCAGUGGGGAAUAUUGCACAAUGGGCGCAAGCCUGAUGCAGCGACGCCGCGUGGGGGAUGACGGCCUUCGGGUUGUAAACUCCUUUCGCUAGGGACGAAGCGCAAGUGACGGUACCUGGAGAAGAAGCACCGGCUAACUACGUG